rnacentral:rRNA from 1 species
GAUGAACGCUGGCGGCGUGCUUAACACAUGCAAGUCGAACGAUGAAAGCGGGAGCUUGCUCCUGCUGGAUUAGUGGCGAACGGGUGAGUAACACGUGAGCAAUCUGCCCCGCACUCUGGGAUAAGCGUUGGAAACGACGUCUAAUACCGGAUACGACGCGCGAAGGCAUCUUCUGCGCGUGGAAAGAACUUCGGUUCGGGAUGAGCUCGCGGCCGAUCAGCUAGUUGGUGAGGUAACGGCCCACUAAGGCGACGACGGGUAGCCGGCCUGAGAGGGUGACCGGCCACACUGGGACUGAGACACGGCCCAGACUCCUACGGGAGGCAGCAGUGGGGAAUAUUGCACAAUGGGCGCAAGCCUGAUGCAGCAACGCCGCGUGAGGGACGACGGCCUUCGGGUUGUAAAAUCCUUUCACCGGUGAAGAUAAUGACUGUAGCCGGAGAAGAAGCCCCGGCCAACUUCGUGCCAGCCGCCGCGGUAACAC